UUUGCUGAUCAUGUAGGUGUUCAUUAAAGCUCAUAUUAAAGUUGAGCGUUAUUGUAUCAAAAACCGAGAAAACUGAGGGAAAAUGGACUUUCUCAGCAAUAAUAUCAAUAAGUGAACAUAAACCCAGUGUGUCCAUCCACUGUCAUUGACCCAACUCCAUGGGUUUUACUGGUGAAUCCAUGUUGUAGAAGAUGAUUGUGUUUCCAUGGUAACUACAGAGCCUCUGAACGUCCAAAUGGAUCAUAUCUGAUGACCAUGAAAAGAAGAAGAACUGUGUUAUACACCAGUUAUGUCCAUGUUUCUAUAGGAUUAUGGUUCAACAGUUAUCACAUAUUCUAGAUGAGUAGAUGCUUUUGGUUUCCAGUGGCUGUUUGGGUCUUUAUGGGUUAAACAGCUGCGGACCCAGGAUUCACAUGUUUAAGAGGAAACUACAUUUAGGACAAAGGACACAGUGUUCCAGUUUUCAAAAAUUAAGUUCAGUAUCUAAAUGUAGUUUAAAAGAUGUGUACUCUACUACAUUAUUUAUGUUUUAUUGAAUGUCCACCUGCAGUACUGAAAGCUAAGAAUGCUUCAAAAAGGUCAUGUGACUGGAUUCAUCAGGACAGUAAAUAAUUAAAGUGCUCUGCAGAUUUC